rnacentral:rRNA from 1 species
CAGUAGCCGCGGGAAUGCGUAGGUGGCAAGCGUUGUCCGGAAUUAUUGGGCGUAAGGGGCUCGCAGGCGGUUUCUUAAGUCUGAUGUGAAAGCCCCCGGCUCAACCGGGGAGGGUCAUUGGAAACUGGGAAACUUGAGUGCAGAAGAGGAGAGUGGAAUUCCACGUGUAGCGGUGAAAUGCGUAGAGAUGUGGAGGAACACCAGUGGCGAAGGCGACUCUCUGGUCUGUAACUGACGCUGAGGAGCGAAAGCGUGGGGAGCGAACAGGAUUAGAUACCCGAGUAGUCCCUGUCUCUUAUAC